CAAUAGCGUAUGUUAAAGUUGUUGCAGUUAAAAAGCUCGUAGUUGGAUUUCGGGGCAGCCUGGCUGGUCCGCCGCAAGGCGAGUACUGGUCAGCCGCCCUUCCUCUCGAAAGCCCCGACUGCUCUUUAUUGCAGUGGUCGGGUAGUUCGGGACGUUUACUUUGAAAAAAUUAGAGUGUUCAAGGCAGGCCUACGCCUGAAUACAUUAGCAUGGAAUAAUGGAAGAGGACCUCGGUCCUAUUUUGUUGGUUUCCAGGACCGAAGUAAUGAUUAAGAGGGACAGUUGGGGGCAUUCGUAUUUAAUUGUCAGAGGUGAAAUUCUCGGAUUUAUGAAAGACGAACAACUGCGAAAGCAUUUGCCAAGGAUGUUUUCAUUAA
rnacentral:rRNA from 1 species